AUGCAGCAUGUCGCGUGAGUGAAGAAGGCCCUUGGGUCGUAAAGCUCUUUUAUGGGGGAAGAUGAUGACGGUACCCCAAGAAUAAGCACCGGCUAACUAUGUGCCAGCAGCCGCGGUAAUACAUAGGGUGCGAGCGUUGUUCGGAAUUACUGGGCGUAAAGGGCGCGCAGGCGGAAUAGUAAGUCGGAGGUGAAAGCCCGGGGCUCAACCCCGGAGGGUCUUUCGAAACUGCUAAUCUAGAGAGGGUCAGGGGCCGGCAGAAUUCCUGGUGUAGAGGUGAAAUUCGUAGAUAUCAGGAGGAAUACCGGUGGCGAAGGCGGCCGGCUGGGGCCACUCUGACGCUGAGGCGCGAAAGCGUGGGGAGCAAACAGGAUUAGAUACCCUGGUAGUCCACGCCGUAAACGAUGAGCACUGGACGUCCGGAGGGUUCG
rnacentral:rRNA from 1 species